rnacentral:rRNA from 1 species
AUGCAAGUCGAACGCGAUUUUUCCGGUUAGCAAUAACUGGAAAAAUUGAGUGGCGAAUGGGUGCGUAACACGUGGGAAUUUAUCCGGAAGUGGGGGAUAGCUUGCCGAAAGGCAAAUUAAUACCGCAUAUGCCCGUAAGGGCAAAGUGGGGGACCGCAAGGCCUCACGCUAUCGGAGGAGCCCGCGCCCUAUCAGCUAGUUGGUGAGGUAAUGGCUCACCAAGGCUUAGACGGGUAGCUGGUCUGAGAGGACGACCAGCCACACUGGAACUGAGACACGGUCCAGACACCUACGGGUGGCAGCAGUCGAGGAUUUUUCUCAAUGGGGGCAACCCUGAAGGAGCGACGCCGCGUGGAGGAUGAAGGGCUUCGGCUCGUAAACUCCUGUCACCGACGAACAAGGCAUUCGGAUUAAUAAAUCGGAUGCUUGAUGGUAGUCGGAGAGGAAGGGGCGGCUAACUCUGUGCCAGCAGCCGCGGUGAUACAGAGGCCCCAAGCGUUGUUCGGAUUUACUGGGCGUAAAGGGUGUGUAGGGGGUUGGGUAAGUUUGACGUGAAAUCCCGUUGCUCAACAACGGAACUGCGUCGAAUACUGCUCGGCUGGAGGUUCGGAGAUGAGGGCGGAAUUCUCGGUGUAGCGGUGAAAUGCGUAGAUAUCGAGAGGAACGCCGAUGGCGAAAGCAGCCCUCAAGACGAAAUCUGACCCUGAAACACGAAGGCNAGGGGAGCAAACGGGAUUAGAUACCCCGGUAGUCCUGGCAGUAAACGGUGCUCAUUAGAUGUAGGCGGAUUCGACCCCGCCUGUGUCGAACCUAACGGAUUAAAUGAGCCGCCUGGGAAGUACGGUCGCAAGAUUAAAACUCAAAUGAAUUGACGGAAGGGCGAAUU